UACGGGGGGGGCAAGCGUUGUUCGGAAUUACUGGGCGUAAAGGGCUCGUAGGUGGCCAACUAAGUCGGACGUGAAAUCCCUCAGCUUAACUGGGGAACUGCGUCCGAUACUGGAUGGCUUGAGUUUGGGAGAGGGAUGCGGAAUUCCAGGUGUAGCGGUGAAAUGCGUAGAUAUCUGGAGGAACACCGGUGGCGAAGGCGGCAUCCUGGACCGGCAUUGACGCUGAGGAGCGAAAGCCAGGGGAGCAAACGGG
rnacentral:rRNA from 1 species